CUUGAUCUUCCUGCGUCGUACGCGCCACUGAUCCAAAGUCCCCAUCAUCCUCUUCAUCUACUUCAUCUGCAUCCUUAUCUGCACCUUCACUUUCCGAUGCAGGCCCGAAAUGUGUCUGGAGCUCUAGAAGAGAGACAGGAAUGGAUCCUUGAGCAGGUCCCCGGCCAUCGCUCGUUUACUUGGGUCAGGCUCAAAGCAGGAAAGGAUGAAGGAUUUGGCCUCUGACGAAAGAGACUCUGGGAUCUCCGGAUGGAUCUUAAACAUGCCCACCUGGUACAAAGACAACAGAGACCAAUGGAGGAGAUGAUUUUGAUUAAUAGUCUAUCAAAAAUAUGAAAAAUACAAUAUUUUACAAGUAAUCAAAAACCAUUGAAUCUGUAUUUUAAAAACAUACUGUGAUGUUCAUAUUAAUAAUAUGUAAUUUUUAUUAAUACAGUUUUGUUAUUCUCUUGGUUGAUUAUCUUCUGUAUUUGCAUAAAAUAUAAAUCUUCUGAAAAAAAAAAACUAGAUUAUAAAGCAAAAUUAUCUACAUGAGCUCAUGAGUCAACUACAUAUUCUUAUGUAAAGACCUAAAUAAAAAGAUAACAUUUAUUAAAUUGAUUAUAUCACUUUUUU